GCAAAAUCUCAACUUUAUUAGAAGAGACGCAUUUAUUAGAUAAAAAGCCAGUUCAUGCUUUUACAGUAUGAAAAUUGGUGAUUUAUAAUAACUUAGCAAAUCGCAAAGUGAAAACAGGCGAUAAAUCAUUCAAGUUUCUGACCUAUCAGCUUUCGACGGUAUGGUAUUGGCUUACCGUGGCAGUGACGGUUAACGGGGGAUUAGGGUUCGAUUCCGGAGAGGGAGCCUGAGAAACGGCUACCACAUCUAAGGAAGGCAGCAGGCGCGCAAAUUACCCAAUUCUAACAGUUUGAGAGAGGUAGUAACAAGAAAUAACAAUACAAGGCAGUUAAAAUGCUUUGUAAUUGGAAUGAUAGAAAUUUAAACCCUUUUUAAAGUAUCAAUUGGAGGGCAAGUCUGGUGCCAGCAGCCGCGGUAAUUCCAGCUCCAAUAGCGUAUAUUAAAAUUGUUGCAGUUAAAAAGCUCGUAGUUGAAGUUCUGCUGAAAGUAACCGGUCUGCUUUUAAUAAAAGUGGUAUCUUGGUAUGUAUUUAGCAAUGAUGUCCUUUGAAGUGUUUUUUACUUUAUUGUAAUAAAGCAUAUUCAGGACUUUUACUUGAGAAAAUUAGA
rnacentral:rRNA from 1 species